rnacentral:rRNA from 1 species
AAGACAUAGUAGAACUUAGUUCUAUAUAUCUGCCCAAUGACUUAAGUUAUAUGGCUUUAAAGUAGCAUAAUAAUUAGUUUAUUAAUUGUAAACUUGUAUGAAGACAGCAUUCUAGUAAAAUAUUUAACGAGAUUUUAAAAACUUAGAAUAUUAAUUAAAAUGUUAAUAUGCCCCCUAUGGACGAUAAGACCCUAAGACCUUAAUUAAAUUUAGCUGGGAUAGCUUUCUUAAAAGAUUAAAGACUAUAAAUUUAUUUAUAACCAAAAUUUUGCUCAUUAAAGGUACCUUAGGGAUAACAGCGCGAAAUAUUUUUAAAGUUCUUAUUAGUAAUAUAUUAGUGACCUCGAUGUUGAAUUAAGUAAUUUAGAGCUGCAGCAGGUUCUAUUUUAAGUCUGUUCGACUUUAUGUACUUACAUGAUUUGAGUUAAGAUCGACGUAAGCCAGAUUGG